rnacentral:hammerhead_ribozyme from 1 species
AUCCGGCUGACGAGUCUCAAAUAGGACGAAACGUAUGUUCUAGAU